rnacentral:rRNA from 1 species
GACGAACGCUGGCGGCGUGCUUAACACAUGCAAGUCGAACGGUAAGGCCCUUCGGGGUACACGAGUGGCGAACGGGUGAGUAACACGUGGUUGAUCUGCCCUGCACUUCGGGAUAAGCCUGGGAAACUGGGUCUAAUACCGGAUAGGACUCCUGGCUUCAUGGUUGGGGGUGGAAAGCUUUUGCGGUGUGGGAUGGGCCCGCGGCCUAUCAGCUUGUUGGUGGGGUAAUGGCCUACCAAGGCGACGACGGGUAGCCGGCCUGGGAGGGUGACCGGUCACACUGGGACUGAGAUACGGCCCAGACUCCUACGGGAGGCAGCAGUGGGGAAUAUUGCACAAUGGGCGCAAGCCUGAUGCAGCGACGCCGCGUGAGGGAUGACGGCCUUCGGGUUGUAAACCUCUUUCAGCUAUGACGAAGCGCAAGUGACGGUAGUAGCAGAAGAAGGACCGGCCAACUACAUGCCAGCAGCCGCGGUAA